rnacentral:rRNA from 1 species
CCUACAACUCACAACGGACAACCCACUGAAGCUAAGCAGGUGUGAGCUUGGCUAGUACCUGGAUGGGAGACCUCCUGGGAAAGCUAAGGUAGUUGUGGGA